rnacentral:tRNA from 1 species
GGGCAUGUAGCUCAGUGGAAGAGCGCCAGGUUCCGGUCCUGGAAGUCGGGAGUUCGAUCCUCUCUAUGCCUG